UUGCGCAAAUACCAACCAGCUGUCAAAUUUGUAUGGUACUUGUCAAAAAAAUUAUCAAGGAAAUCGGCGAAAUUUAAGUUUAUCAUAUAAAAUAAAUUAUAAGUUCUCGUGUCUACAAAGGAUACAAAGUAAAGAAACGGAAUAAUAAACAAAAAUACUUUUUAUUUUCGAUGCCGGAACUUGUAUUUAGUUUUAUUAGCGUGCUUGUACACAUCGUUCUUUGUACAAUAAGUCAGACUUAUCCUUUCCUUUUGAGUUUCGCAUCGAUAAGUGAAGAGGGGUAAAUAAAAAUCUCAAUGAAUAACAACCUGGCAAAGAUGAUAACGGAGCAACUACGGAAUCCAAACGAGCUGGACAUAAGCCUAAGAAUGGAGUUUGGACCAUUUGAAACAGUACAUAAAUGGAAAAGAAUGUCGGAGUGUUACGAGUUUGUUGGG